GAGUUUGAUCAUGGCUCAGCGCGAACGUUGGCGGCGCGCCUAACACAUGCAAGUCGUGGGCAGCAGGCUACUACCUCCGGUAGUAGUGCUGGCGACCGGCAAACGGGUGAGUAACGCGAGCUUACCUACCCCAGGGUUGGGGAUAACCUCCCGAAAGGGUGGCUAAUACCCAAUAACAGGAGACUCCAAAGCCCAAAAGGCGCCCUGGGAUGGGGCUGCGUCCCAUCAGGUAGUUGUGAGGUAAUGGCUCACCAAGCCUACGACGGGUAACCGGUCUGAGAGGAUGAUCGGUCACGCGGGACUGAGACACGGCCCGCACCCCUACGGGGGGCAGCAGUGGGGAAUAUUGGGCAAGGCCGAAAGGCUGACCCAGCGACGCCGCGUGGCGGAUGAAGCCCUUCGGGGUGUAAACGCUUUUCUUGGGGAAGACAAUGACGGUACCCAAGGAAUAAGGGACGGCUAACUACGUGCCGCAGCCGCGGUAAUACGUAGGUCCCGAACGUUGCGCGAAAUCACUGGGCGUAAAGGGUCGUAGGCGGUCUAUCAAGUGGAAGGUGAAAUCCGAUGGCUCAACCAUCGAACUGCCUUCCAACUGAUAGACUUGAGGGCGGAAGAGGUCGGCGGAAUUCCCGGUGUAGCGGUGAAAUGCUAGAUAUCGGGAGGAACACCAGUAGCGAAGGCGGCCGACUGGGACGCUCCUGACGCUGAGGACGAAAGCUAGGGGAGCAAACCGGAUUAGAUACCCGGGUAGUCCUAGCCGUAAACGAGGGUGUUAGAUGUGGGGGUGCGAAAGCACUCCGUGUCGCAAGCUAACGCGUUAAACACCCGCCUGGGGAGUACGGCCGCAAGGUUGAAACUCAAAUGAAUUGACGGG
rnacentral:rRNA from 1 species